UCUCCGUAGGUGAACCUGCGGAGGGAUCAUUACAAGAGUGAGGGCCCUCGCGGCCCGAACCUCCAACCCCAUGUUGUCCGACUCUGUUGCCUCGGGGGCGACCGGCCUUCGGGCGUCUUGGGGCCCCCGGUGGACCACUCAACACUGCAUCGUUGCGUCUGAGUCGAAAUAUAAAUCAAUCAAAACUUUCAACAACGGAUCUCUUGGUUCUGGCAUCGAUGAAGAACGCAGC
rnacentral:misc_RNA from 1 species